AACGAACGCUGGCGGCAUGCCUAACACAUGCGAGUCGAACGAGACCUUCGGGGCUAGUGGCGCACGGGUGCGUACCGCGUGGGAACCUGCCCUUAGGUUCGGAAUCACUCCCCGAAAGGGGUGCUAAUACCGGAUAAUGUCUUCGGACCAAAGAUUUAUCGCCUUUGGAUGGGCCCGCGUUGGAUUAGCUAGUUGGUAGGGUAAAAGCCUACCAAGGCGACGAUCCAUAGCUGGUCUGAGAGGAUGAUCAGCCACACUGGGACUGAGACACGGCCCAGACUCCUACGGGAGGCAGCAGUGGGGAAUAUUGGACAAUGGGCGAAACCCUGAUCCAGCAAUGCCGCGUGAGUGAUGAAGGCCUUAGGGUUGUAAAGCUCUUUUACCCGGGAUGAUAAUGACAGUACCGGGAGAAUAAGCGCCGGCUAACUCCGUG
rnacentral:rRNA from 1 species